ACCUCGGCCUCCCAAAGUUCUGGGAUUACAGGCGUGAGCCACCGUGCCCGGCCAUAGCUCUUUGGUAUGUAAGUUAGAACAGGCUAAGCAGUAGCAACCCCCUAAUGAUUUAGGCCACACAUGGAUGUGAUAAGUCAGGAAAAAGGAGCAAGCCAAGAUAGAGGACAGUGAGCUGCCCAUGGCAUACAAGCAACUCACAUAACAUCUGGGUAAUGACUAUAGAAGAUGACUUUACUCCACCUGGAGCAUCUGAUUAUACCUGGGCUCUUUGCAGUACAUGUUAAUGACCCAGACCACAAACAGAGUAUCGUGGCCAAGCUGUUCUUGCACUGAAUUAUAAAAGAGACUUGAGGGUUUGUGCAAGCUGUUUGGCAAGACAAGGUUGGCUUGGAGUAAGAACUUCUGGAAAUAUCAGAAAUGAACUCAGAAGAGAAGAAGACUAGGCUGCCUGAAGAGAUCUCAAGAAUAAUCGUAGAACGUGCUGAGAAUUCAACAUUCUGAGGUAUAAUAUCUCAGUUAGCCUAUGAAGAGAAUGUUGUGGAUCUCCCUCCAACUCACUUCACAAGUAUUUAGAUUCAAGGCUGGGCACAGGAAGCAGAUGGCAGGUACAAUUGCUGAGAGUUGCAAUCUGGUCUCAGCAAAACUGGUAUCACAGGGACAUAAUUCACUUAUGCUGACGUGCAGGUGCUUUUGCGAAAACAUUGUCGUGUAGCAGAAAGAGCAUGGGCUUUGGAGUCACACUGACCUAGGUUGAAGUCUUAGAUGAGUUCUCACUUUAGUUUUCUUUCUUUAAGAUGUAGAUAACUCCUACCUUGCACCAUGAUUUGAGGACUAAAUAAGGAAAAUAAUAUUAAGUUCUAUAGCAACCCUGAAACACACACAUUAAAAGUAUGUCUUUUCUUCUUCUGUCUGUGGUGCUUCCUUUAAGCACCCCUUCCCCUCCUUCACCCUCAAGGCUGAUGCUCCCAUACCUCCAGCUGAGUUUCCAGCCAUCUUGCUCCAGCACCUUGAAGGUCAAGUUGGCAGCAAACUCAACUCACAUGCUGCAAGUCUUCCAUUUGGGAGGGUCCUGCCUUACAAAACUACUUCCUAGACACGACGCUAA